rnacentral:rRNA from 1 species
CACGUAGUUAGCCGGGGCUUCUUAAUCAGGUACCGUCAUUUUCUUCCCUGCUGAUAGAGCUUUACAUACCGAAAUACUUCUUCACUCACGCGGCGUCGCUGCAUCAGGGUUUCCCCCAUUGUGCAAUAUUCCCCACUGCUGCCUCCCGCAGGAGUCUGGGCCGUGUCUCAGUCCCAAUGUGGCCGUUCACCCUCUCAGGCCGGCUACUGAUCGUCGCUUUGGUAGGCCGUUACCCUGCCAACUGGCUAAUCAGACGCGGGUCCAUCUCACACCGAUAAAUCUUUUCCGUCAGUGCCAUGCGGCACCAGCGGGUUAUGCGGUAUUAGCGGUCGUUUCCAACUGUUAUCCCCCUGUGUGAGGCAGGUUACCCACGCGUUACUCACCCGUCCGCCACUCAGUCACAAGAGACUUCAUCCGAAGAAUCAUUCUCAGGUGCUUCGUUCGACUUGCAUGUGUUAAGCACGCCGCCAGCGUUCAUCCUGAGCCAGGAUA